UAAGGAAUAUUGGUCAAUGGAGGCAACUCUGAACCAGCCAUGCCGCGUGAAGGAUGAAGGUCCUCUGGAUUGUAAACUUCUUUUACAGGGGAAGAAAUCACGCUUUUCCAAGCGUGUUGACGGUACCCUGGGAAUAAGCACCGGCUAACUCCGUGCCAGCAGCCGCGGUAAUACGGAGGGUGCAAGCGUUAUCCGGAUUCACUGGGUUUAAAGGGUGCGUAGGAGGGCAGGGAAGUCCGUGGUGAAAUCCUAGAGCUUAACUCUAGAACUGCCGUGGAUACUCUCUGUCUUGAAUCCCGUGGAGAUGAGCGGAAUAUGUCAUGUAGCGGUGAAAUGCUUAGAUAUGACAUAGAACACCAAUUGCGAAGGCAGCUCGUUACACGAAGAUUGACUCUGAGGCACGAAAGCGUGGGGAUCAAACA
rnacentral:rRNA from 1 species